CUGUGUGUGUGAGCACGCGUGCUGGAUAUUUAUGUGAAAAUAUAUAAAUAAUCUCACAGUUGGUUUUAAAUCAGUCCUUACCGACGGUAUGUGGAGCAGCUGGUGAGGGAAUGGAAUUACAUUUAUCAUGCUGUGAGCGAGUUGUGUGGAAACAGCCUACUGUUAGCGCUGAUGAUCAGGAUUACAAGAGAUUUGAUGAGCUCAGCAAAAUAUUCACCCAAGAUACUGGAUGAGUCAAUAGAGAUGUUGAUGAAAAUGGGCUGAAGGGCCCCAAAGGGCAGAAGGGGUCACUUGCAGCAGCUUAACUAAGACCCUCAGCGGACACUCGCCGCAGAUCAAAGGCCCCGGCACACUGCGCUAAUUAAAGGGCCGUUCUGCUGCUAAUGCGCAACACCGGCCCUGGCCAAUCCAAAGAGAAG